rnacentral:misc_RNA from 1 species
GUCGAAGCGAAAAUCCUUCAACCUGGCAGUGUUGCCACUCAAAAUUAAAAAUUUAUCCAUUACAGCAAACCGAAAGAAAUCUAUAUAAAUAUUUUUUUUAUUAUUAUUUAUAAAAACAAUUUAGACAAAAACCCUAAGCAAUUAAAUAAAUAUUUAAACAUGAAACGAUGUAAAAACAAAACCGUGCAAAUACAUAGCAACUCUCCAAGCACGCCAUCUAGUGAGCCCGCAAGCUUCGCUAGACAAACCUCAAUACUAGGAUCUAUAGUAACACUGCCGUUAGAACCAGAUGUCGCUAUGCACAAUAUUUUUACUAUGUUACACGCCAUCUUUACCAACCAUAGAUUGCGUAGAUUUCACAAUUUUUGAACGAUGAUUCGACUUAUUGCGGAAACAUACAAAUGCAUUAUUGACGUGGCCACUGUUUUCCGGUUCCAUGUCCAAUAACUUCUCUUUAAUGGCAUCCGUUGUAAUUAUCAUGCCGGAAUAUUCAAUGGCCAUUAUAUUGGCUUAUUUUUCUGUUAAUCCUGCCAACAUGAUAGAAUCGAUCAAUUCGUCGUUAAUCCCAAAACCCGUUCCUUGUAGCUUCUGACCACCUUCAACUAUUUGUGUUUCAUAUGACGUCAUCGAUGAGCAAUUGAUAUAAAAUUCCUCAGCAGGCUGAUUUUUCUCGUAAAUCCCGAUUCAUCAAACAGCAUCUUCAAUAUAUCCCACAAUUCUUUCGAUGUUUUGACGCUUUUGAUGUGAACGUAAAGGGCCGGGUCGAUUGUUAAGACUAAGGGCCGGUUUUUUGAUCCGUAGUUAACUGAACCAAUGGUUAAAAAAAGUAACUAAUAGUCAAAUAUCCCGAAAAUACGUUUUUCAACCAUAAGUUAGCUUAACCAAUAGUCAAAUAACAAACUAUUAGUUAAAAAAUGUAACCACCCAAAAUUGAGCGGUUUGCAAGAUGGCGAAUGGUUAAAUGACGCCGUUACAGCUGAUCUUACUUUAAAAUUUCGACGCGCAUAUUUUUAUUUGUUUUAUUAUUCACCUAAACUAUGAAUUUGAACAUAGUAAGAUACCUUGAUAACUCAGAGUCGGAAAGUUCAUCAGACGAUGAUCUCUUUGCUGAAUAUAUAUUAAUGAGAAGGCCAAAAAUAUUCAGACAAAGAAACACGCCUUUGGACGUCUGGGAUAACGUAGAUUUUUGUCAAAGGUAUCGUCUAUCAAAAGAAACAGUGAUGUGGUUGUUAAAUGAAAUAGGGAGUUACUUAAAAACUCCUACCAUGAGAAAUCAUGCAAUCACCACUCUAGAGCAAAUACUACUCACAUUAACCCUUUAACGGUCACCUUGACUUUUUUUUUAAUAUGCAAUUUAUUUUAAGUAAUAUAUAUUUUUUGG